AGUCGAAAGAGGAAAUUCAUUCGCGUUUCGUUAUCGAAGUUGGACGUUUGUAUGACGGAYGAAGUUUCGGCAUCGUUUGCGUCUUAUGUCCAUCGAAUCGGUGUCGAACGCGUGCACUUUUCCUCUAGUAGGACGUCGUGAUCCGUUGGGUAUCUGUCUAAGGUUCGGGGUGGAGCCCGCGCAAUUUUUGAUUGCGUGGACCCUCGAUAUCCCGACAGACUCGCUCGACGGUAUACUAAUGGCGCGGGGCCGCUACUUAAGUUAGCGUUCGGCUCGUAGCAAGCAUGUUCUGUGUUUGAUGGCAAUCGGACCUAAUGCCGAUUCUGUCCCAGAACAACUGUUGGUUGCGGUGUUCUCGAACAGACCUCG
rnacentral:rRNA from 1 species